AUGGGAUGCUUGGAUCGCUGCUGCACGCUCACCGUUCAAAAUUUUCUUAAGCGGUGGUUUCUCUACUCCAUCAUCAUCUUGUGUGUAGGCAUCACCAUCACAGGUAUUAUCUUGUUCGUCUUACGCUUGGCCUUCAAACCCCAUGUAGAGGCCAGCAUCGAGGACGCUCGCCUUACCAGCUUCGGUACCACGGAGGCGACAACCUCGUCGUCUUUCUUGGAGUACAGCAUCUCCGUCGCCAUCAGCAUUCACAACCCGACUUGGGGGUUUGUCAAGCACACCAAGCCUCUCGUGGCCUCCAUCGCCUUCGACGACAACAGCCUGCUGAACGUCUCGGUUGCCGGCGAGGGCCAUAGGUACCGGCCAAGCAAAAAAGAAGUGCACUUCCUGCAGAAAAGCGGGAAGGUCCUUUGGGAUGUGCUGGGUAGGGCGGCCUUGGAGGACUUCAAGCAGCAGAGCAAGAUGGGCGUGUUCAGCGUGGAGGUGCGCCUCUCCGGGGAGAUCACCAUCGUGGGGCUUGAUAAUGUUGUUACCCGAAACAAGCGGAACCUUGGCUUCAGCUGCCCGCUCAGUCUGCAGCUACCGCCGCCGGGCCAUGGGGUUGUCCUCUUCCACGAAGUCAACUGCAAGCCUGAGCCAGAGAAUAUCUAUUUCUGA
rnacentral:rRNA from 1 species